CCGCCUCCUCAAGAUCAGGAGGCUGAGGCGGCCACCAUGUCCCAGCGUUGUCUAUCUGCAGGGCAUGCUCAUCACCUCAUACGCCGGCAGCCACCGUAUCCAGGUGUGCGCUCAAGAUCAGACUAAUCGGCGAGAAGGUGAGCGGAGGUGUCUGAUCUGGGUUUGUAAUUUUUUGGUUUUUUGGCUCACGUUUUCUGGUUUGUUAUUUUGGUGUAAGUAGAUUGAGAGCUUGUGACGAAUGGGAAGAGCCCUGAUAAGCUUCAGGCAGCUGGAGGGAGCAAAGGCAAGCUCUUAAGAUUUUG
rnacentral:lncRNA from 1 species